UACGUAGGUGGCAAGCGUUGUCCGGAUUCACUGGGCGUAAAGCGCGCGCAGGCGGUCUUCUACGUCUGGGGUGAAAACCCGGGGCUCAACCCCGGGACUGCCUUGGAUACGGGGAGACUUGGGGAUCGGAGAGGCAAGGGGAAUUCCACGUGUAGCGGUGAAAUGCGUAGAGAUGUGGAGGAACACCUGUGGCGAAGGCGCCUUGCUGGCCGAUUUCUGACGCUGAGGCGCGAAAGCGUGGGGAGCAAACAGG
rnacentral:rRNA from 1 species